GUGCUCACCAUGGCAGCACAUACACUGUCAUUGGAGUGAUAUAGAGAAGAUGAGCCUGGGGGCUGUGCAGGGGUGAUGUGCAAAUUCGUGAAGCCUUCCAUACUUUU
ensembl:snRNA U6 U6 spliceosomal RNA